GUGUGAAUGCAUUGAUGCAAGCUCUGCCGCUGGAAGCAGGUGCUGCAGCUAGCACUGAUGAACUGCUAAAUAUCACAGCGUUUGUUGACAUGCGUGUUAGCGGAGCAGUCACACAAUCAACGAAAUCGGCCGACACUGUGCCACACACAGGACGACACCACUAUCAACGAAAUCGGCUGUAUCGAAUUGCAACUUGUUUCUCUAUAUGAUGUCCUUGAAUGCAAGAGCUCGACCGUCACUCCGUUUCCGCUAGCACUGGAACUCUGGAAGGUUGCCGUCUUCCUAGUGCUGUCAAGUGUUCGAUGUAGUUCUUGAUCGCCUCAGUGAGAUUCCAUCCACGGUAUAUACUAUUUCACGUUGCCCAUUCAUUCCAUUUUUGUGCUUGGUAUCGCUGAUGAAGGUUAUGCAAACUUAGCCGGUCUACCGGUAUCAUCUUCUUGCUUUCCGGGGUGACAUGCUCCAGACCAAAAUCCCUCAAUCCCCAAGUUGAAUCGAGCAAAAAUACAUACGUGGAUGAUGAUGUUUCUUCUAAGUAGCUACCUGCUAUGGCUGGCCGCCAUGGCCAUGGGUUGAUGCAGCUGUCGUUUCAAAAAUGUUUCUAGCAAUGAAUGUUGCAAAAGCCAAUGAGGACGGUUUGCGCGGUAGCUGCGAUGAAGCAGGAAGGACGAUGGCGCUCUCGGCGAGGGCAAGCGUUCCGCCUAGCGUCGCGGGGCGGGUGACGGCGCCGCUGGGCAAAGCGGGUCGCCCGCAUCAACCAACCUCUUUGAAAGCGGGUUAGCAUAUGUGGGUCAGUGGGCUAGUGGGGCGGGCCAACCCAGCGGGUUAGCGGCACAGCCCGCCCCACUUAUACCCUUAGUACUUUCACCCAUUCUGCCACCAGCCGGAUUCCAUCUAUACACGCAAGAGCUUCUGCCUGACUGCCUCUUCUGCGGACUGGCAGUUCCUGAUUAUAUUCCAAGAAGAAUCCAAGAAGAAAGGAUCACAAAAGCCCGUUCCUGACGAUAAUGCCCGUUCCUGCUUCCCCUGUCGCAGGCAAAAGCACCAUCAAUAUUCACUUUUGCAACACUCUGAAUGACAAUCGGCCGUAAAAGCCACGUGUCAUACACAUGUAUCUCCACUGUUUGGAAAAGAUCACUUUACAUCCCU